rnacentral:sRNA from 1 species
UUAUAGCCCGGAUUGCAGUGUAAAUCCUGCCAUUGCAAAAUGGCAGAUUGCAACGGAAAGCCGGUUUGCAA